rnacentral:rRNA from 1 species
AGCUCCAGUAGCGUAUAUUAACGUUGCUGCAGUUAAAAAGCUCGUAGUUGGAUUUCUGGUUUGUCACACUAGCCCAGGGCUUCGGUUUUGAGUGUUGGUGUGUACUCUCCAUCCUUCUAGAGAGCUGUGCGUACCGUUAACUCGGCCGCGCGCAUGCGAUCUAGAUCUUUUACUUUGAAAAAAUUAGAGUGUUUAAAGCAGGCUUACGCUGUGAAUACAUUAGCAUGGAAUAAUAAUAUAGGACUUUGUUUCUAUUUUGUUGGUUUCUAGGAAUGAAGUAAUGAUUGAUAGGGAUAGUUGGGGGUGCUAGUAUUCAGCGGCCAGAGGUGAAAUUCUUGGAUUCGCUGAAGACUAACUACUGCGAAAGCAUUCACCAAGGAUGUCUUCU